rnacentral:rRNA from 1 species
CUUCCUUGAUACUUAGCGGCGGACGGGUGAGUAACACGUAGGCAACCUGCCCUCAAGUUUGGGACAACUACCGGAAACGGUAGCUAAUACCGAAUAGUUGUUUUCUUCUCCUGAAGGAAACUGGAAAGACGGAGCAAUCUGUCACUUGGGGAUGGGCCUGCGGCGCAUUAGCUAGUUGGUGGGGUAACGGCUCACCAAGGCGACGACGCGUAGCCGACCUGAGAGGGUGAUCGGCCACACUGGGACUGAGACACGGCCCAGACUCCUACGGGAGGCAGCAGUAGGGAAUCUUUCGCAAUGGGCGAAAGCCUGACGGAGCAAUGCCGCGUGAGUGAUGAAGGUUUUCGGAUCGUAAAGCUCUGUUGCCAGGGAAGAACGCUUGGGAGAGUAACUGCUCUCAAGGUGACGGUACCUGAGAAGAAAGCCCCGGCUAACUACGUGCCAGCAGCCGCGGUAAUACGUAGGGGGCAAGCGUUGUCCGGAAUUAUUGGGCGUAAAGCGCGCGCAGGCGGUCAUUUAAGUCUGGUGUUUAAUCCCGGGGCUCAACCCCGGAUCGCACUGGAAACUGGGUGACUUGAGUGCAGAAGAGGAGAGUGGAAUUCCACGUGUAGCGAUGAAAUGCGUAGAUAUGUGGAGGAACACCAGUGGCGAAGGCGACUCUCUGGGCUGUAACUGACGCUGAGGCGCGAAAGCGUGGGGAGCAAACAGGAUUAGAUACCUGGUAGUCCACGCCGUAAACGAUGAGUGCUAGGUGUUAGGGGUUUCGAUACCCUUGGUGCCGAAGUUAACACAUUAAGCAC